rnacentral:rRNA from 1 species
UUGGGAAUCUUGCACAAUGGACGAAAGUCUGAUGCAGCGACGCCGCGUGGGGGAUGAAGGUUUUCGGAUUGUAAACCCCUUUUAUCAGGGAGUAUUUUUGGAAAGUACCUGAUGAAUAAGCACCGGCUAACUCCGUGCCAGCAGCCGCGGUAAUACGGAGGGUGCAAACGUUGUCCGGAAUCACUGGGCGUAAAGCGCAUGUAGGUGGUUUUAUAAGUGAACGAUUAAAGACCGAUGCUUAACGUCGGGAAGGUUGUUCAUACUGUAAAACUAGAGUGUGGCAGGGGUAAGCGGAACUUUAGGUGUAGGAGUGAAAUCCGUAGAUAUCUAAAGGAACACCAAUGGCGAAGGCAGCUUACUGGGCCAUUUCUGACACUCAGAUGCGAAAGCGUGGGGAGCAAAC